rnacentral:rRNA from 1 species
GACGAACGCUGGCGGCGUGCUUAACACAUGCAAGUCGAACGGAAAGGCCCUGCUUUUGUGGGGUGCUCGAGUGGCGAACGGGUGAGUAACACGUGAGUAACCUGCCCUUGACUUUGGGAUAACUUCAGGAAACUGGGGCUAAUACCGGAUAGGAGCUCCUGCUGCAUGGUGGGGGUUGGAAAGUUUCGGCGGUUGGGGAUGGACUCGCGGCUUAUCAGCUUGUUGGUGGGGUAGUGGCUUACCAAGGCUUUGACGGGUAGCCGGCCUGAGAGGGUGACCGGCCACAUUGGGACUGCGAUACGGCCCAGACGCCUACGGGAGGCAGCAGUGGGGAAUAUUGCACAGUGGGCGGAAGCCUGAUGCAGCAACGCCGCGUGCGGGAUGACGGCCUUCGGGUUGUAAACCGCUUUCGCCUGUGACGAAGCGUGAGUGACGGUAAUGGGUAAAGAAGCACCGGCUAACUACGUG